CAUGCCGCGUGUGUGAAGAAGGCCUUCGGGUUGUAAAGCACUUUCAGUCGUGAGGAAGGUGGUGUAGUUAAUAGCUGCAUUAUUUGACGUUAGCGACAGAAGAAGCACCGGCUAACUCCGUGCCAGCAGCCGCGGUAAUACGGAGGGUGCGAGCGUUAAUCGGAAUUACUGGGCGUAAAGCGCAUGCAGGUGGUUUGUUAAGUCAGAUGUGAAAGCCCGGGGCUCAACCUCGGAAUAGCAUUUGAAACUGGCAGACUAGAGUACUGUAGAGGGGGGUAGAAUUUCAGGUGUAGCGGUGAAAUGCGUAGAGAUCUGAAGGAAUACCGGUGGCGAAGGCGGCCCCCUGGACAGAUACUGACACUCAGAUGCGAAAGCGUGGGGAGCAAACAGGAUUAGAUACCCCGGUAG
rnacentral:rRNA from 1 species